GACACCACUCGCCCACCGUCCCCCUCUGCCCCCUCCCGUCAAAGGGGGGCGUGUGUCGGGUGCCGGCUCGGGCGGACUCUGCGUGUUCCGGAGACUCAACCGUCCCCGAGUGCACCGAAUCUCGUGAACGAAACUUCUACUGCCUUGCUGCACAGAGCUGUUGACGGCGCUCGCUUCGGCGGCGACUCUCGGCUCGACAAAACGUGCCUCAAGCGUCAGGUUGGAAGUGUCUUUGUCCGGUCACGGUUCCGCGCCAAAGUUUCUCUCCGGAGGACGGACGGCCGGCCUCACCCUACUUUCG
rnacentral:misc_RNA from 1 species